UAGAGAGAUAGGACUUGAACCUAUAAUUGAGAGAUC
rnacentral:tRNA from 1 species